rnacentral:tRNA from 1 species
GCGGGGUAGCUCAGUCGGUCAGAGCGCACGACUCAUAAUCGUGAGGUCGCGGGUUCGAUCCCCGCCCCCG